UUGAGCCGUGAGCGAAAGAAAGGUUAGGCAGAUAUAGUUCCAUUACUUAUCUUGCAAAUUUGAGCUUUAGCUCGUUUUCUUAUUGGAUUUUGUUUAAGCGAAUAUUUGAUGUGGAAUUGUAUAGAUAUAUUGCUGUGUUCGUGAGCGUCAGAGAAGAAUUAGACUAUCAAGUAAUUCUACUGUAAAUAUGAGGAUACACUUGUAUGAAUGAAUAAGGAUUAAAAAAAAUGUAUUUCCAAAAAAAAGGGAUAAAAAAAAAGGUCAUCAGGGAGCAAAAAAAAAAAAGUUGUAAUCUGAAAGAAAGCGGUAAUUUGGAACUUGCCACUGAGUUAGAUCAGCAGAUUGAAGUAACCUGUAACCAAGAAAUCUUUCCUUGGGUAUAAAUGAAGUUGUAAUGUAAAUGAAAUUGCAAGUUUUAUUAGAUGUAAUCAUAUAGCAUGUGAACAACUCCGUUACAAGUUUGCAACUAGAUCAGGGAAUGCAAUGGCUUAUUCCUCUGGACUUAAUCUGAGAGGUUUCUGAACAUGACUAGUUGUUUAUGCACGCAUACCUGCAUCCAUGCAAGAUGUUGAAAUUAAUUUCAUCUAUGGAGUGGAUUUAGUCUGUUGAGGUUCACAUGAGUAAAGGCUUGCUGCAAUUAGCAUUAGAAAAAGGAGAGAAACAAGGAGAUUUCUGGAAUCUUGACCCCUUGAAACUUGUUAUAAUUACAAGGACCUGCGGUGUUUUCUAUAACUGAUAACAAAGGGCAUACAAAAUCAGAUCUUCAGUGAGCCAAGCGGCUACGUGCAAACACAGAAAAGCUUAGAGGGGAAUCCUAGCCUUAGCUGGGAAUCCACUUUGAUAAUUAAGUUAGAAGUCUAGAACUCUUAAAGAAUAUAAUUCACCAGAGUCAGAUGAUUUAUGUACCUGACUGGGAAACUAUUUAUCGUUGAAAAAGUAUAGCUUCAAUCGAAUUUGUAGUCCCAUUUAAAGUCUCUCUCUGGGGCAGUUCAAAGAGGACUAAACAUGUAUAAUUCUUUUGGAAUUCAUCUUGAUCAGUUGUAUUAUGAAGAAAGAAUUCUUGCACGUAGAGAUGCUAACAUGGUUAGGCUUAGUCUUAGAAUAAGACUACAGUUCAUGUUCGGUUUCGGGGACAGAAGCUGUGCAAUGAUACAGAUCCGACUCAAAAUUUCCAUUUGUUAUCAGUAACCCAACCCUUUGUUGUAGAGCUAGAUUGUGACAUGAAAGACGUGGACAUGGAAUAUCAUUCGUUGCUGUUGAUCAGUUACAAAAAUAUUAAACUUAGCUUAAAAUAGCAAAUAAUUUCAUUAGGCCUAGACUGGUGUUUAUUUAUUCCAUACACGCCAUUUAGGUAGAAGAAAUCUUGUCAGCAUGGGGCCUUUCUUUGAGGAUUGUCCCUUAAUUCUUUCCCUCAAUGAAUAACACAAAGUAUGAAUUUCUAUGUUUUGCUAGAAUAACACAAAGUAUGAACUUCUAUGUUUUACUAUCUUAUUUUGGAUACAGUUUGUGUGGGGUAAUUCUGUAUUUGAGGGGUAACUAUUAACUGAUUUUGUUUCUUGCAAGUAUGUUUGCCUCCAUUGUUUUUGGGCAAUGAAGUUCCUGCAAUAUGAUUUGCUUCAAAAAAAUCUUCAAUAUGACAUGCAGAUUUAUUCCACAAACUUAUAACUUAAAUUGUACAAGGCAGAAAUCCCCGAUGCUUUGAGUUUAUUUUCAAUUUUCUUGUCCUGAUCUGAUUUUUGCAUGACCAAGGCAUGAUAGAGGAUUUUCUACACAAGAAAACAUUGGCUAACAAAUUUUUAAGUUAGAAGUGACGCUUUCUUGUGUUAGUUAAGAUUGGAGUCUAAGAAGUUUCUGAGCCAUGUAUAAUCAUACCCUACAUUUGAAUGUAGAGAUUUGAAAUUGAUAAUAUAUGGUUUUUCUUUAAUUGAUUAUAUUCAUGAAUCUAGGUUAGGUAUAUGAAUGUGGAAAAAACUUUGAGAGAAGAUUUGAAAUACCUUAUAAAAAAGUGUUAUUUCAAAUUCACUUCAAAUGAGUUCUCAAACACAUUCACAAGUCUAGUUUUUGCUUAUGAAUCUAAUAAUUAAAGAAUGGCCUAACUUUCAUUCAAAUAAUUUAUGCUAAAGUAAAAUCUAAAUCCCUCACUGGAAAUCAUUGUAUCCAAGCAUAGCAUUAGAUGGUUGUGUUGCUUUUAUGGCAUGCAUUCCUGUCUAUUUUUGAAUGACAUAUAAUAAGUUGUGCAGGUGUUCCAUGGACUGAAGAGG
rnacentral:misc_RNA from 1 species